rnacentral:rRNA from 1 species
ACUCCUACGGGAGGCAGCAGUAGGGAAUCUUCCACAAUGGGCGCAAGCCUGAUGGAGCAACACCGCGUGAGUGAAGAAGGGUUUCGGCUCGUAAAGCUCUGUUGUUAAAGAAGAACACGUAUGAGAGUAACUGUUCAUACGUUGACGGUAUUUAACCAGAAAGUCACGGCUAACUACGUGCCAGCAGCCGCGGUAAUACGUAGGUGGCAAGCGUUAUCCGGAUUUAUUGGGCGUAAAGAGAGUGCAGGCGGUUUUCUAAGUCUGAUGUGAAAGCCUUCGGCUUAACCGGAGAAGUGCAUCGGAAACUGGAUAACUUGAGUGCAGAAGAGGGUAGUGGAACUCUAUGUGUAGCGGUGGAAUGCGUAGAUGUAUGGAAG